rnacentral:rRNA from 1 species
UUGACCUCGGAUCAGGUAGGGAUACCCGCUGAUAUCCCUCAGCAGGUACGCUACGGACG